GUGCCAGCAGCCGCGGUAAUACAGAGGUCCCAAGCGUUGUUCGGAUUCACUGGGCGUAAAGGGUGCGUAGGCGGUCGGGUAAGUCUGACGUGAAAUCUUCAAGCUCAACUUGGAAACUGCGUCGGAUACUAUUCGGCUAGAGGAAUGGAGGGGAGACUGGAAUACUUGGUGUAGCAGUGAAAUGCGUAGAUAUCAAGUGGAACACCAGUGGCGAAGGCGAGUCUCUGGACAUUUCCUGACGCUGAGGCACGAAAGCCAGGGGAGCAAACGGGAUUAGAUACCCCGGUAGUCC
rnacentral:rRNA from 1 species